UUCUGCGUUGUCAGAAUAUCGUUAUGUUUACAAUCUAUCCAAAUAUUUGUGGAGUAUUAAGAAUCAUAUUUUUGCUGAUAUUUUAAGGCAAGACAAGCCAGGACGUAGAAGAAUGAUGUUGGCGUUUGUUUAUGUUGUGUUUUUGCUGGCCGCUAGGACAACAGUUGUUUAUAGCUUGAGCUUCACUUUGUCAAAGCCACGAGUUGUAUUAGGAGCU
rnacentral:lncRNA from 1 species